UGUGAACUGCAGGACACAUGAACACCGACACGUUGAACGCAUAUUGCACAUCGUACUACAGUACGAUGUACACAUUUUUGAGUGCCUAU
rnacentral:rRNA from 1 species